UACAGAGGGUGCGAGCGUUGUCCGGAAUCACUGGGCGUAAAGGGCGCGUAGGCGGCUUGAUAAGGUUGCGGUGAAAGCCCGGGGCUCAACCCCGGGUCGGCCGUGGCAACUGUCGAGCUGGAGCACUGUAGAGGCAGGUGGAAUUCCGGGUGUAGUGGUGAAAUGCGUAGAUAUCGGGAGGAACACCAGUGGCGAAGGCGACUUCCUGGCCUGUUCUUGACGCUGAGGCGCGAAAGCUAGGGUAGCAAACGGG
rnacentral:rRNA from 1 species